rnacentral:rRNA from 1 species
GUGUCAGCCGCCGCGGUAAUACGUAGGGUGCGAGCGUUAAUCGGAAUUACUGGGCGUAAAGCGUGCGCAGGCGGUUGGCCGUGUCCGAUGUGAAAGCCCCGGGCUUAACCUGGGAAUGGCAUUGGAAACUGGCCAGCUCGAGUGUGGCAGAGGGGGGUGGAAUUCCACGUGUAGCAGUGAAAUGCGUAGAGAUGUGGAGGAACACCGAUGGCGAAGGCAGCCCCCUGGGCCAACACUGACGCUCAGGCACGAAAGCGUGGGGAGCAAACAGGAUUAGAAACCCCAGUAGUCC